rnacentral:lncRNA from 1 species
CCCCAGAGCAGGCCUGGGCAGUGUCUGGGUGGGGCCUGGGAGCCACAGGAGACGCCCAAAGCCAGGCAGAGCCCGGGGGCGAGGGGGCGGCAGGCAGGUGUAGCGCUGCCCUGGGCGGGCUUGCACCCCCACACCCAAGUGAGCGGCCUGCUCACUCCUCAGCUGCAGGAGCCAGACAUGUGGAGUCCCAGCAGAGGCCAACCUGUGUCUCUUCAUCUCCGUGAGAAAGGUGCCCCCGAAGUGAAAGAGAUGGCCUGGUGGAAAGCCUGGGAGAAUGAAUAAACAGACUAGGUUGAAUCCAUACAAUGGAAUGGUAGCAGACAAUAAAAAGAAAAUGAACUAUUGAUGCCCCCUACUGCACAGCAGAAGCUCUGAAUCGUGUUCCUGAAUGAAAGAAGUCAGGUGAAAAUCAAAAUUAAGGCAGAAAUAAAAAAAUCUUUGAAAGUAAUGAAAAUGGAGAUACAACUUAACAAAGUCUCUGGGAUACAGCCAAAGCAGUGUUAAGAGGAAAGUUUAUAACGUUAAAUGCCUUCACCAAGAAGUUAAAACAAUCUCAAAUUAACAGUCUAAGUUUGCACCUAGAAGAACUAGAGAAAAAGAGCAAACCAACCCCAAAGCUAGCAGAAGAAAAUAAAUAACUAAAAUUAAAGAAGAACUUAAUGAAAUUGAGAUGCAAAAAUCCAUACAAAAGAUAAAUGAAACCAAAAGUUGAUUUUCAAAAAAAUAAACAAGACUGAGAGACCACUAGCUAGAUUAACAAAGAAAAAAGAAUUUCCAAAUAAGUACUGUCAGAAAUGACAAAGAUAUUACAAUUCAUCUUCAUUUGCAGAUGAAGAUACUGCAGCUUAGUCAGCAGACUAAGUCACCUAAAUGCUCUGCCAGAAGCAGAAUUUGUACUCAGGAAUGUCCAACUGCAAAGUCCAUGUGCUUGAACAGUAUGGCAUACUGAUACAUGCAGAAAUACAAAAGAUCCUCAGAAAAUACUGUGAGUAAUUCUAUGCACACAAAUUAGAAAAUCUAGAGGAAAUGGAUAAAUUCCUGGGAACAUACAAUCUCCCAAGAUUGAAUCAGGAAGAGACUGAUACCCUGACUAGACCAAUAUCAAGCUCUGAAAUUAAACCAAUAAUAAAAAACCUACCAACGACAACAACAAAAAGCCCUGGACUAGAUGGAUUCACAGCUAAAUUCUAUCAGACAUACAAAGAACUGGUACCAAUCCUACUGAUUAAACCUCUUUAGGUUCUGCUUUUUGUAUUGUUAAAAUCUUCAUUUUUGGUUUUCUAACGGUCUCUGAUUCAAACAUUCGUUACCAAUAAACAAUCCAGGUAGCCUCACCCUGAGUGGCAGCCUGGCUGGGUGAGUUCUAAAAAUGCCCAAGACCUCCAAGACUAGGUGAGAUCUGAAGUAAUGAAAUGCCUCCAUUCACUAAAGGCCUGAAAUUGUCCUGACUGCCUCAGUCCCACGGACCAAGAAGAGCCUUUCAAGCUGUGAUCCCAAUACUUGUGGCUGCUGUGAGAAUAAGGAAAGCAGCCUAGGCCUCCAGUGGAAGGAUCAGAUGUUUGCCCUUCAUACCUCAGAGAGCCUUCAUCCAAGUAAGAUGGGUGGUGAGGAGCUGUGGAUGACAGCAUGAAGGAUGAGGACUGAUGCAGCAGCCAUAAUUAGAUUAUAGGUUUCCAUGGGAUGUGCCAUGACUGCUUACAAAUGGGGCCCAGCCAUGGAAUUGAGUUAUCAACUAAGCUGAUUCCUGAGGCACAGAUCAUCCUGUCCUCCACAACAUGAUUAAAGACUACAUGAUGCUCAGGAAGACCUCUGCAGCUGUGUGCUUGGAAGAGUGUGUUUUUCCUGCUAAAGCAUAAGAAAAAAGAGACCAGCAAUUAUUAUCUUAGGCCUUGCAGCAUCCUUUCUGGUCCCACAAGUUUGAGAAGGCAGGUGUGUGUGUGUGUGUGUGCAUUUGUGUUUGUGUGUGUGUGCACGUCCACAUGCAUGCAUGAUCCUACAAUGGAAGUGAGUACGCAAAAGUUGAUUGCCUAUAUACCCUCCCCACAACCAGGUGUAUAAGAGUGUUCUUUGAGAAUGAGAAAGCAGGAAGGAGCACAUCCCACACCUUAGCAUUCAUGUAGUCAAUUAGGAACUCCUGAGCUCCCAUGACAUGCUAGACCCUGGGCUCAGCACUGGAUCUCAGACAUGUCCCAAACUGGGCGAUGGAAGUGGUGGGAAGCAACCACUCAUGGACAGCUUCCCGUGUGCCAGGAGUGUGCCAGCAUUGACAUUAUGCCGUCUCUCACUCCUGCCCUCCAUCACAUUAGUGAUUCUGCCAUGAGUGACUCGUUCCUUUGGGUUCCUGUUAAGUUCCUGUGGAGGGGUCUAGCCACAGCAGGGGAAAGAGCACCGAGGGAGCUUUUAGGAAACUCUGCUCCAGGUCAGCUGUGUGAUGCUGAAAAAAUGGCUCACCCUCUCUGGACCUGUUUCCUCUUUUGCACAAUAAGAGGGUGGUGUUCUCCAAGGUCUCCUUGAAGAUCCGACUUAUCCUUGGUCAUCACUUUGCAGAGGGCAGGUCCUGUCCCCAAGCCCACCAGAGUGGAGCUGGGAAAAGUUCCAUGGUGAAGAAAAGGCAGGGGACACAACUCUGAGAGUCAUUCCUUUGAAGAUUGAGCCCAGAGGGCUCAGUUUCUGGAUUGCAUGGGGCACUUUGUCUCUCUCUGCUGGAGCCACGCACCCCUGGUGCAGUAGUUUCUGCCCUGCCCAGACUCUGGUCCCAGAAGGUUGACAUAAUGAGGAAGGAAUGAGCUUGCCAGCUCUGCCAUGACCAGCAGGCUGCCUUGGGCAAGUGCUUCACUUCCCUGAGCCUCACUUCCUCUGCCUCAUCCCUUCUCAGAGACCACUCCUCAUUUACCAUCCUAAAGUCUGACCCGUCCUGACAACCAUUAUUCUCUCUCCAUCCCCUGGUUUUUCUCUUUAGGACAGUUACUGCAUUCUCUAUCUCUUGUUGUUUCUUAGGUGGAGGAGGUACCUGCCUCCUCCCUACCUAGAACGUGAGCCUAGUAAAGGGAUGGGCCUCACCUGUUUCAGGUUUGACCUCCAAUGCCCGUCACGUAGAAGCUCAACACCAUUUCCAAUGCCAGAAGUGACAGGACAACAGCAACAAUAGCAAUAUUUCUGUACCACUCCCCUCACUUUCCAAAGAGAAGUAAUUCCCAGCUUGGACCUUCCCUUGCUGGGAGGGGUGCCCAGGUGUGGCCUCUCUGUGACCUUGGACCCUGGCUCCGGCAUAUGCCAGCCUGGCCUUUCCCCAGGGUAGGGAGCUGGCACCCUGGGCAUUCCCCAGCCAGCAUCCAGCCUUCUUGGGCAGGGCCUUUCCACACCAUUCCUCCCAAAUCCUCACUGGCCCACCCUGGAACAAAUGCAGGCGGAAGCUCGCAUCCCCACCUCUGCUGUUUCUGCUGGGUCCCCAAAGAGCUUUCUUUAGGGAAAAAGAAAGCAGGCCAGUGCCUGCUCCUUUUAGACCCCACAGUGGGGCAUGGGGUGGGCCUUGGUUGGCCUUAAUUUUCCAUUCACCUGAGGAGUGGCUCAAUCUCACUCAUUCCCAUUGCAGGUGGAUGUCAGCCAAACUGGAUGCAUAAGGUUUUUGUGAUUUAGGAGUUGCAACAGGGGAGAUAAAACGCCUAGGAAUGUCUUCAGUUGGAAAAAAGGGGCACGAUCCUCACAUUCUGUAACCUGAGCACUUUAUCUCCUCUCUCCCCUUCCUUCACUGAUACAAGAAAGGAGACUCCAGCACUAGUUUCCUCAGUCCUUCUGCAGGGCGGGCCUUCUCACGGCCUCAAAGUCAUGGAGAAGAGUGUGCACAGGACACCUCACUUUAAGCAAAGCCCAUAGACCGUAUUUGAGAAAAGGAGUUAAAUAAAGAGGCAGCCACCAACAAACCAGAGCCCUGUGGUCACUCAGGUCCCAUAGACUCUAGAGGUCAAAGGGCCUCCGAGCAUUUGAGAAUCAGAGAGGGCAAGUAACUUGGCUGAUAUCACAUAGCACGAAGGUGGCAGAGCCAGGAUUCCACCUGCUGGCCUCCCAGAUGUCUUUCCUGUUGGACCCUGCUUGCUGGCCACUCCUGGUGGGGGUCACUCCACCAUUAGUGUGUUCAUCAAACUGACAGUUGUGGUCCAGAUCCCUUGCCUCUGGUGUGCCCAGCACCUUAGCUGGCACCUCCCUCAGCAAACCCAGCCUUCGCCAUCCUCCCAAGCAUACUUCCCAGGGCUGUUUUGUCCAUUACGGUCCCAGAAUAUAAGGCCUUUGGGUUUUUUCAGGGCCUGUGAAAAGGUUUGAAAAAUGAAAAACACACUGGCAGUUCCAAAAUUCUCAAAUAAAACUGUAGAAAUGCCUUAGGAAUUAAAUAUGUAAUAAGAUGUGAACACUUCAUUACACACCUACAAUUAGUCACAUGCCUACGAUAUGUGAAUAAUGUCAGGUCAGCUAGUGAACUGUUAUACAGUAAUUGCGCAUCACUUAUAUAGAUAUACACAAAGUGCACUUACUGACUUGGAUGUGUGUGUUCAUUGUUUGAAGUGGCGUGGAUGGAGGCUCCAAAAGAUAAAAGAAUGUAGGGGAGGUGACUCUUCAAAUGGCCCUCACCCACCCCUUACCCUCAGCUCACCCACCAUGAAGCUUCCCCUUCCAAGGAGGACACACCUCCUUUCCUAGAACAUUCUUCAGUGCCACAAGCUGCUCAGUCAGCCCUGAUUCUGGAGUCUCCAGUGAGCGAGGCCUGGGGUGGCCCCAGUGGGAUGAGCCACACUCCCCACAGCACUCAGCCUGGAUGUGGCACUGGCUGCACAUAGCAAGAGGCAGCUAUUGGACACCUGCUCGCCACAUGUUCUGUCUUAUCCUCCCAGCAACACCGAGUGAGGGAGGGAGUGUUAACCCACCAUUCACCAGGUUUACCAGAGACCAAGCCCAGGAUCUCUCCACUGCACACUUUUAAAAGGGUCCUUUCAGCUUCCCAUUAAAGAAGUUUGUUCCUUUGUUCCUCCUCUCCUGUUCUUCCUAAGACAUCAUCACUGAAAUUUAAGCUUAUAAAUUUAAAAUGAAGUAAAUCUAUAAGGGAAAAGCAUUAAAAAAGAGAGAAAGAUGGCUUACUAAUGGAUGAGAGUCCAACACAUUUCUGGAAGACAAGGUUCAUGAGAGGCCUAGCACUGUGGCUCCCACCUGUAAUCCCAGCACUUUGGGAGGCUGAGGCAGGAGGAUCGCUUGAGGACAGGAAUUGAAGCCUGCAGUGAGUUACCGUCACACCACCCUACUCCAGCCUAGGCAACAAAGCGAGACCCCAUCUCUUAGAAAAGAAAAAAGAAGAUUCACAAGAGGGUGUGGCAAUAUUAGACAGGCUAAGCCCCCAGGUGUACCCAGUGUAACCACAGGGGCCCUUCGGUGGAAGGGAGAAGCAGAAGAGGUCAGAGUGAAGCCACACCUGCUGUGACAAUGGAGGGAGAAAGUGGCUGGCCAAGGAACUCCAUCAGCUUCUAGAAGCUGGAAAAGGCAAGGAAACAGUCUCCACCCGGAGCCUUAUGGGAACACAGCCGCCUCAUGGGAACACAGCUGCCCUGUGACACUGAUUUUAGCCCCGUGAGGCCCAUGCUGGACUUCUGGCCUCCAGAACUGUAAGAUUUGUGGUGCUCUAAGCAAAUCAUAAAUUUGUGGAAAUUUGUUACAGCAGCAACAGAAAACUAGCACAGGCAGCCUACGUGCUAAUUCUCAUCUUACCUGAGGUGGGGAGUACAAUACACCCUGCGUUAGUUGGAAAGCUGAAACAAUUCUCUAAUGCUAAUACUGAAAUUGUCAGGUCGGUGUAACUGUGACAGUCCGGAAGCAAUGGAGGCUUCAGUGAGCAGGACCAGCUGCCUUUCUCACCACCACAGCUUGAUCUCUCUCACAACUUCCUCUCCACCUCCACUGACCUCUGGGUUGGUUUUCUCCUGCACGAUCUUUCCACGUGUCAGGGGCCUGGAGGCACCCUACAAGAGCUGAUUUUACAUUUCCUUCCUAGAGGAGUAAUUUUUACAUUUUUGAUACCAGUACUUUGUUAGAUAUAAGUUUGAGUACUCAGUCCUUGUAAGAGACAGAAAAGGAGAGACACACACAGAGGAGAAGGCUAUGGGAGGCUGGAGGCAGAGAUCAGAGCCACGAGCCAAGCUUGGAGCUACUGGAAGCAGGAAAGCAAAGAAGAACCUUGCCUGGAGCCUAAGUAGGGAGCACAGCCCUGUGACACUGUGAUUUCGGACUUCUGACUUCCAGAACCGUGAGAUAAUAAAUUUCUGUUCUUUUAAACCAUGAAGUUUGUGGCAAUUUGUUACGGCAGCCCUAAGAAAAUAAUACAAAUCUUCUUUCACUGUCAAAAGUGCCUGGGUUGGAAUCUAUUGUAAGGACUCCCAGAGCGCUCUCGGGAAAGGAAACAAGAAGCCGGUCCCCUAGGCCUGGGCCUGACUGAGGCCGGGACCAGAGGCUCAGGUGGGGCCCUGGAGGCCAGCAGGAGGUCCCAGCCCAGUCACCAGUACAGGAGAUUGACAGGAAUGAAAGAAAAUGUUUUGAGGGGUGUGCCUUAGGUCACGGGUCCCCAGCAGCCAGCAGCAUCCGGAGGCUAGCUGGGGUCCUGGGUCCUGGCCAUCUCUAGUCCUCAGAGACACAACUGACGUGUGUGUUGGUCCAUCCUCAGGCUCACAGCCCUGAAAUCUCUCUCCUCUGAGACAGAAAAGGAAGUUCAUGUCAGAAUCGGAGCACAGAGAGAUCAUGAAUAAGCUGAUGUCAGUGGCCCACUCACUGCCAACCUUGCUCAGCUCUGAGCAUGAUUAUACCCAAUCAAAGCCUGGAAAAUCAAUGAAUCUGCAGCCCAGGAUACUGGGUACUACAUCCACAGCCCAAAGAGCCUCUCCGGGGAAGGUUGCUGAGAUACUAAGGGAAGGAUACUUUGGAAAGAUGGAGAAGUAAAAAUAUUUCCUACAUCCUUUGUUUUGGAGAGACUAUACCUGUAUCUGGGAUGCACAGGUGAGUUCAAACACCAAGGCGUUUGUGGAUGGUGCCCAGGCUAUACUCGAAGCAGAGCCGUCUCCUUCCCUGAGUGCCCUGCUCCUGAAUGACCAACUGCAGGAGGUGGUGUCAGGCCCUGGGCUGUGCGAGGAAGGGAAGGUAAGACGCAGUGAGCCAGGGAAGGACACAGGACAGGGCUCAUUGAAGCCCUACCCUACAGUGAUACAAAACUGCUGCACAAGCUGGUCCCCAGAGAGCAACAGAGGAAGACUUAGGAGGCAGAGAGACUGGGAACGCCAGUGGGGAUGGGAGGGAAGUCUCCAGCCUGAAAAAGAAAAUGGCCAAUGGAAGAAACUAGGAAAUAAAACAUGGUUGCGAGUAGGGUAUUCCCUACUUCUUCGUAUGAGUCUGGGUUCUAGGAGGUGAAUAUGCAUACAGUCACAUGCUGUGUGACACUUCAGUCAACUACAGACGGUGAUCCCAUUAAAUUAUAAUGGAGCUGAAAGAAUCUUAUCGCCUGGCAACAACCUAGUGCAAUGUAUUAUUUAGGUGUUUGUGGUGAUGCUGGUGUAAACAAACCUGCACUGCCAGUUGUAUAAAAUCUAGCACAUAGAAUUAUGUACAGUGCAUAGUACUUGACAAUGAUAACAAAUGACUGUUAGCAGUUUAUGUAUUUACUAUACUA